UUCAGUGGGCUUUCGAGCUGCACGCGCGUGAGCUAGAAGAAUAGAAGAAUCUAUACGUGGGCGCCUUUUUUUCCGCAAUAAAUGAAAGAAAUGAUUACAUCUUUGUUCACAGAUUGCGUUUCUAAAUCAAUACUUGGAAACGCGAACCUUGUCUCAGAUUAUAUGCCUGAAAUGACAUGAUGCACGCGAAGACACGUGGACGGUGUAUGUAGCUUGUGAACUGUAGCAAAUGUUUGGAUUGAAAUAUAAAAGGUGCUGCUGAAACCUGCAUGGCACGUGCGCAGUGCAUGGCUGAUCUUCCGAGAGAUAAGGAAAAAUGUGGAGCCUAAGAGGAAGACACUGUAAAGCACACAGCCUCUGGUCUAAAGGCUGAGAAUGUAGAGAUCUGUCUGCAGCCUGCUUUGGAUUGAUCUAAAUGAAGACUUCUGUUUAACAGGUUGAAUGAACUUCUAGACAAAGGAAGUAUUGUGGGAAAAGAUGAAUUUGAUGCUUCUACAAUAAAACAUAAAUUAAGUGACCAUA